GUUGCAUUUAUGAUAAAAUUUCGGCAGGAUUUUACCGAGUACAAAUCCUCCGAAAAGCCUAUGAAAACGUUACAUUUUUCUCUGUUGGUGCUGUUCUUGCUUUAUUAUGAAUUCAUUUUUGCUCCCAUGAGAGUUCCGUGGAAUUUCCAUGGAAUUUGUGCUUUCGAGUUGUUUGUGCUGAAACGCAUUCUCUCGUAUAAUGCCCCGUACACUUUGAAAUGGCGAUGCCACAAUUUACCCCGCAGCAGAGAGCUUUUACGGUAUCAGAGUUCCUCCGUAGCAACAACAUAAACUUGGUUCGCCAAAGUUUCACGAAAGAAUAUCCAGAUGUACGAUGCCCUUCACGUGCGAAGCCGAAAUUUUAUCAUAAAUGCAACAAAUAGCGAACUUUUCAU